CCCCGACAGCUCCAGCCUUCGUCUUGAGCGAACAGCCCAGCGUUUUGGACGCCUCACGCUCUGGCUUGGUGCUGCAGGACAUCUGCAAGCGCUUAGCUGGCCCCAGCGCUGAGCUGCUUUCCUGGCCCUCGCAUCACGAUGCAAAAGUACAAGUGAAGACUUUGAAAGAACAGUACCACAGAGAGAAGUGUUCCCCCUCCAUCUCAACACUGACUUUUUCUAGAUCAGCUGUGAUGAAUUCACUACGAUGAGAGGAUCUCAACUUUUUUUCCUCCCUGCAAUAAAUUCUCCGGUGAAACAGAGGAAGAACCAGUGAAAUAAGAAGAUUGCUGAUAGAUUUUAAAACUCAGCGUUGUUUGAUCAGGAAAACUACGGAAAGUUUCUCAGGGCUUUCUUUGAAAAGCUGAGAAAACUUCUGCAUGCUUAGUCAAGAUAUGACAAAAUUUGAUUACUCUCAGGAGAAAACAACUCUUGCAUUUCAUGGCCCUGGGGGCCAGAAAGCUGGGCGAGGAGAGCAGGAAAAUGUGUGCUUGCACUGCCGGUGCUGGGAGCCAAGCAGACAUGAGUCAGCCCUGAGCUGGAAGCUGUGCAGCUGUCGUCAGUGCGGUGCUGCUGCCGAGCCCUGUCGGGAGGCAAGGUGUGCUCGUUCCAGCUCCAUGCUGCACCAGCAUGACCCUGUGUGGUUGGGGAAGAGUUUGGGCUGUGGUUCAGAACUGGGACAAAGCUUGCUUGCCUCUGCCUGCCAAAGACAAUGUGGACGUGCUCUGAGUCUGUGUUGUUUCUCUCAUAAUAAAUGUUUGAUUGAAGCUUGUAAGUUAUGUUUGUCUUUUUUUAAUUUGGCUCAGGAGUAGGGCAGGAGGCCCGUCUGUAAUGUACUGUUUCCUUUAGGUCCAACCUGGCAAAUUCUGACUACCUUUGAAAUAAGCAGCAUUGCAAAACAAUCCUGAGUGCUUCUGCAGACGAGCACAUUCCUGCAGCAGAGCUCAGCCUAAAACUCCAGGAGCAGAUGGAAGAAAGGCUAAGGAAGGUAAUUAAAUGUGGCUGUUCCCUAAGAAGUAAGCCUGUUGUAGCAGCUCGGCUGAGCCCUGAAAGCCAGAUACAGCCUCACUUUGUGCAGUCUGCAGUCACAGCACUCCAGAUUUUGUAGAAUCAUAGAAUCGUUUGAAUUGGAAGGAACCUUUAAAGGCCAUCUGAUCCAACUCACCUGCAAUAACAGGGACACCUACAGCUCGAUCAGGUGCUCAGAGCCCCAUCCAGCCUGACCUCAAAUGUCUAAAGAGUCUGUUCCCUUCUUUCUUAUAGACCUCCUUUAGACACUUAAAGGCUGAGAAGAUUUAAGAGAAAGUGUUUCAUGUUACUGUUGUGUGUUAAUGUGUGGAACGCAAAAUGGGGCCAUAAGUUCUGCUCAGCCUUCAGGAAAGCCUUCAUCACUGCCCUGAGCAUGGAGAGCUGUUAGCUCUAUCUGUAGUAGGGGAAUGAACAAGGAAUGGGGGCAUCCAGUGCCUGUGGAACAAACACAGAGUUUGGAAUGAGUGGGUGAGAAGGAAGAGGAGAAUAUACCUGAACUGUGCAUCGAUAGGCUAAAUGUAGCUUGAUGUUGGGUGACAAUGACACUAGCAUCGGGUUUAGAAAAUGAGCAUAGCAGUCAGAGUACUCAUCACACCAACUAAUACAUGCACCAGCCAAUAGGUGCUUGACCAGGGCAGCGCUUGUCUGGCUGUGUUGGCUCAGCUGUUGAGCAGCUGAGGAGCUGUAGCAGACAAGAGAUGGGAGGGAGGGUGUGUGGCUGUCAGCGUGAGCUGUGGCAAAGCAAAUCCAUUCCUAGGCAGAAAUUUGCCUCGGGCCUUAGGUUCUGAUCUGUCUACAAGAAGGCCAGGAGGACUAGGGAUGACAUGAGCUAAGAAAUUAGCAGAGAUUGAGCUAAAAAGUCCUUUAGCAGGCUCUGCUGGGAUAGAACAAGGGGAAAUGAUUUCAAAUUGAAAGAGGGGAGAUUUAGACUGGAUAUAAGGAAAAAGGUUUUUUACUGUAAGGGUGCUGAGGCACUAGCACGGGUUGCUCAUAGAGGUGGUGGAUGCUCUGUCCAUGGAGGUACUCAAGGUCUGGAGGGGGCUCUGAGCACGUGAUUGAGAUGUAGGUGUCCCUGUUCAUUGCAAGGGGGUUGGACUAGAUGACCUUUAAAGGUCCCUUCCAACUCAAAUGGUUCUAUGAUUCUAUGGUCUGACUAAGAAACCCUAUGUGCUAAAACCACCACCACUGUUAUCAGCUAAUAGCUCUCUGGAACUGAUAAUAAAAUGGUAAGAAGAGGUAUUAAUACGUUCUGA
rnacentral:lncRNA from 1 species